AACGAACGCUGGCGGCAGGCUUAACACAUGCAAGUCGAGCGCCCCGCAAGGGGAGCGGCAGACGGGUGAGUAACGCGUGGGAACGUACCUUUUGGUUCGGAACAACUCCGGGAAACUGGAGCUAAUACCGGAUAAGCCCUAACGGGGAAAGAUUUAUCGCCGAAAGAUCGGCCCGCGUCUGAUUAGCUAGUUGGUGAGGUAACGGCUCACCAAGGCGACGAUCAGUAGCUGGUCUGAGAGGAUGAGCAGCCACACUGGGACUGAGACACGGCCCAGACUCCUACGGGAUGCAGCAGUGGGGAAUAUUGGACAAUGGGCGCAAGCCUGAUCCAGCCAUGCCGCGUGAGUGAUGAAGGCCUUAGGGUUGUAAAGCUCUUUUGUCCGGGAAGAUAAUGACUGUACCGGAAGAAUAAGCCCCGGCUAACUUCGUG
rnacentral:rRNA from 1 species